CAUAGGUGCCCCCACUACCA
rnacentral:tRNA from 1 species